AUACAUAAAACCAGAAAUAUACACAUGUAUAUCAUAUUAAAGGUGGUUUUCUCAGGGUGAGGCUUAUCCAUUGCUCUCCGGAUGUGCUGACCCCUGUGAUUUCCCCAAAUGUGGGAAACUCGACUGCAUAAUUUGUGGUAGUGGGGGACUGCAUUCACGCUCUCCCGUU